ensembl:lncRNA novel transcript
AAUGGUCCUUCCUGUUGUGAACAUUGAGUCCUAGUGGGUGAGUCUAAUUGCAGCAACAUGUGAAAAAGGCAGGCAAGAGCUGAGUCAGGAAAAUAGACAAGCAGGGUACCUUCAGAAAGGCCAGCCAUACCAAUAGCCAGAAUAUGAUCUGGAAGAACCAGCAGAUCAAUAAGGAAGUUCUGUAAAUUAGUUUUUACUCUGGGUACUCAGGGGUUAAUCCAUAGGGCUUAUUCUGGAUACAGUUUUCUGAUCUUACAGAGCCAG